rnacentral:rRNA from 1 species
UACGGGGGGGGCAAGCGUUGUUCGGAAUUACUGGGCGUAAAGGGCUCGUAGGCGGCCAACUAAGUCGGAUGUGAAAUCCCCAAGCUUAACUUGGGAACUGCAUCCGAUACUGGAUGGCUUGAAUCCGGGAGAGGGAUGCAGAAUUCCAGGUGUAGCGGUGAAAUGCGUAGAUAUCUGGAGGAAUACCGGUGGCGAAGGCGACCAUCUGGACCGGAACUGACGCUGAGGCGCGAAAGCCAGGGGAGCGAAUGGG